UACGGAGGGUGCGAGCGUUGUCCGGAAUCACUGGGCGUAAAGGGCGCGUAGGUGGCGCAGGAAGUCAACGGUGAAAGUUCGGGGCUCAACCCUGAAUCGACCGUCGAUACUCCUGGGCUCGAGCACUGUAGAGGCAGAUGGAAUUCCGGGGUGUAGCGGUGGAAUGCGUAGAGAUCCGGAAGAACACCGGUGGCGAAGGCG
rnacentral:rRNA from 1 species